UAGUCUCUGUCCGAAAGAGAUAUUUGCGGUCCGAAUGCUGGACAUUUCAGCAUUUAAUUCCUCUGCUUUAAGCUGAUUAAAACAUGCUGUAAAUGCGACAUUUGAAUAUGCUAUUCACACGCUAAUUAAAUGAUAGUGAGCUUAAAACUAAGCUGUCCGAAUGUGUUAGAUUCACUGUUCAAAGCACUAUCAUUUAUCCACUAUUGAAAUGUAGCUGUCCGAAUUUG
rnacentral:lncRNA from 1 species